CGAGGUAACGAGAGUGCAAACAUGUUGAGGGCUGUGUUAGUUCAGCAACAGAUUUAUUUGGAAAGAAAACUAUUUUCACUUGCAGUUGAAAACGCUUGCAUGCUUAUACCUGCAUUUUUAUUUUAUUAAAUACAAACAAAAUUGUAGCAAAAGUGCUUCAUGUGUUUGAAAGAGCUGUUUAUUUGGUGGUUCAAUGAAACUACUGUACUACACUGUACUGCUGAGUGACUGUCUGCUGCUGUCAAAUGCAUUUCAUCGCAAUGUUGACCCUAUGCUAACUUUUGUACUGAAACUGGCAGUAUCUAUGAUUUUGAAUGUGCAAUGAUUGUGUCACUGUGUUUGCUUAUGUAGUUGUAGCUUUGCUUUGGGCUACUUCUGUCUAUGAUCAUUUCUUUUUUUCUUUUUUUUCUUUUUUAUUUUUUUUGCCUGUCCUGUUUGGCUCUUUUGCCAUCAGAAUUGUUGUCUAAAGGCAAAGAAAGAUGCCCAACGGAUUUACUUUACCAAAUUGACCAUCCCAGCCUUGCCAUAAUGGUCCAUUUGAUUCACCUUUUAUUGUUUAUUUUAUUUUCACUUACUGAAUACGGGACAGACUUGACUGGGGGAAAGAAGGGGAGAAAGAAAGAGGGAAAGAGAAACAGCUGAGAAGAGGGACGGGGGAGAAGGGCAAAAGACAAAAACCAACAGAAUGAGCAGAAAAAGAAAAAAAAGAAGAAGAAAAGAAAAAAAAUGCAUAUAUCAAUCACCUGGGUCACCUGCUGAGAAAGAAAAAAGAAAACAAGCAGAAGAGAACAAGAGUAAUAGAAUAAACAACAUCACAAUGAUAUAUGGGAAUAUGACAGUAAAUACUAAAUAUUAAACAUUAUUGUGCUGUCAUGGUCCGUGGUCCUGUGUCUGUGGAAUGCGUGAUGCUCGGGUAGCCACACCCCCGGGCUGGGCCAUCACCAGCACACUUGCUCUCCAUCCCGGUGAUUACACGGAGAUCCACUUAAUCCGGCGCUGACGGAUGCUCCACGCCAGUCUGUAGUCAUCCCCACAGUGGUAACCAGACUUCCACGAAAAGUGUGCAUUCUCUCCUGCUUGGAACUUUGUUUAACCUGCCUACUUCUGUCCAGGUUUCUACUCGGCGUCUGCUACCUGCCUGUCCUCCGGCUCAACUGGAUCUCGCGGUGCUCACCUGGCCCACUCGCCAUUCCACGGACUUCCUGCCCCCACGGACUGCCACACUUCCCUCCCGAGCUCCGUUCCGUUCUAUCGUAAGGCCCUACUCUAACUCAGUCCUGAUAUGUUCUCCCCGCUUCCUGGCUCCCUAGUAAUCAUCUCCCCUUUCUAUUGCAG
ensembl:lncRNA